rnacentral:rRNA from 1 species
UACGAAGGGUGCAAGCGUUACUCGGAAUUACUGGGCGUAAAGCGUGCGUAGGUGGUGAGUUAAGUCUGAUGUGAAAUCCCCGGGCUCAACCUGGGAAUGGCAUUGGAUACUGGCUCGCUAGAGUGCGGUAGAGGGUGGUGGAAUUCCCGGUGUAGCAGUGAAAUGCGUAGAGAUCGGGAGGAACAUCUGUGGCGAAAGCGGCUCACUGGACCACAACUGACGCUGAGGCGCGAAAGCUAGGGGAGCAAACAGG